rnacentral:rRNA from 1 species
GGCGGCCGCGGGAAUUCGAUUAGAGUUUGAUCAUGGCUCAGAUUGAACGCUGGCGGCAUGCCUUACACAUGCAAGUCGAACGGCAGCACGGGGGCAACCCUGGUGGCGAGUGGCGAACGGGUGAGUAACAUAUCGGAACGUGCCCUGGAGUGGGGGAUAACUAGUCGAAAGACUAGCUAAUACCGCAUACGAUCUACGGAUGAAAGUGGGGGAUCGCAAGACCUCAUGCUCGUGGAGCGGCCGAUAUCUGAUUAGCUAGUUGGUGGGGUAAAGGCCUACCAAGGCAUCGAUCAGUAGCUGGUCUGAGAGGACGACCAGCCACACUGGGACUGAGACACGGCCCAGACUCCUACGGGAGGCAGCAGUGGGGAAUUUUGGACAAUGGGCGCAAGCCUGAUCCAGCAAUGCCGCGUGAGUGAAGAAGGCCUUCGGGUUGUAAAGCUCUUUUGUCAGGGAAGAAACGGUGGAGGUUAAUACCUUCUGCUAAUGACGGUACCUGAAGAAUAAGCACCGGCUAACUACGUGCCAGCAGCCGCGGUAAUACGUAGGGUGCAAGCGUUAAUCGGAAUUACUGGGCGUAAAGCGUGCGCAGGCGGUUGUGCAAGACAGAUGUGAAAUCCCCGGGCUCAACCUGGGAAUUGCAUUUGUGACUGCACGGCUAGAGUGUGUCAGAGGGGGG